AUUGAACGCCGGCGGAAUGCUUUACACAUGCAAGUCGAACGGCAGCAUAGGUGCUUGCACCUGAUGGCGAGUGGCGAACGGGUGAGUAAUAUAUCGGAACGUGCCCAGUCGUGGGGGAUAACGUAGUGAAAAUUACGCUAAUACCGCAUACGACCUAAGGAUGAAAGCGGGGGAUCGCAAGACCUCGCGCGAUUGGAGCGGCCGAUAUCAGAUUAGGUAGUUGGUGAGGUAAAGGCUCACCAAGCCAACGAUCUGUAGCUGGUCUGAGAGGACGACCAGCCACACUGGAGCUGAGACACGGCCCAGACUCCUGCGGGAGGCAGCAGUGGGGAAUUUUGGACAAUGGACGCAAGUCUGAUCCAGCCAUUCCGCGUGCAGGACGAAGGCCUUCGGGUUGUAAACUGCUUUUGUACGGAACGAAAAGGUCUCUAUUAAUACUAGGGGCUCAUGACGGUACCGUAAGAAUAAGCACCGGCUAACUUCGUGCCAGCCGCCGCCGUAA
rnacentral:rRNA from 1 species